rnacentral:rRNA from 1 species
UACGUAGGGUGCAAGCGUUAUCCGGAUUUACUGGGUUUAAAGGGUGCGUAGGUGGGUCUGUAAGUCAGUGGUGAAAUCUCCGAGCUUAACUCGGAAACUGCCAUUGAUACUAUAGGUCUUGAAUUAUCUGGAGGUAAGCGGAAUAUGUCAUGUAGCGGUGAAAUGCUUAGAUAUGACAUAGAACACCAAUUGCGAAGGCAGCUUACUACGGAUUGAUUGACACUGAGGCACGAAAGCGUGGGGAUCAAACAGG